rnacentral:rRNA from 1 species
CUCAGGAUGAACGCUAGCGGGAGGCCUAACACAUGCAAGCCGAGCGGUAUUUGUCUUUCGGGACAGAGAGAGCGGCGUACGGGUGCGGAACACGUGUGCAACCUGCCUUUAUCAGGGGGAUAGCCUUUCGAAAGGAAGAUUAAUACCCCAUAAUAUUUAGAAUGGCAUCAUUUUAAAUUGAAAACUCCGGUGGAUAGAGAUGGGCACGCGCAAGAUUAGAUAGUUGGUGAGGUAACGGCUCACCAAGUCUGCGAUCUUUAGGGGGCCUGAGAGGGUGAUCCCCCACACUGGUACUGAGACACGGACCAGACUCCUACGGGAGGCAGCAGUGAGGAAUAUUGGACAAUGGGUGAGAGCCUGAUCCAGCCAUCCCGCGUGAAGGAUGACGGCCCUAUGGGUUGUAAACUUCUUUUGUAUAGGGAUAAACCUAGAUACGUGUAUCUAGCUGAAGGUACUAUACGAAUAAGCACCGGCUAACUCCGUGCCAGCAGCCGCGGUAAUACGGAGGGUGCAAGCGUUAUCCGGAUUUAUUGGGUUUAAAGGGUCCGUAGGCGGAUCUGUAAGUCAGUGGUGAAAUCUCACAGCUUAACUGUGAAACUGCCAUUGAUACUGCAGGUCUUGAGUGUUGUUGAAGUAGCUGGAAUAAGUAGUGUAGCGGUGAAAUGCAUAGAUAUUACUUAGAACACCAAUUGCGAAGGCAGGUUACUAAGCAACAACUGACGCUGAUGGACGAAAGCGUGGGGAGCGAACAGGAUUAGAUACCCUGGUAGUCCACGCCGUAAACGAUGCUAACUCGUUUUUGGAGCGUAAGUUUCAGAGACUAAGCGAAAGUGAUA